rnacentral:rRNA from 1 species
ACGGUCCAGACUCCUACGGGAGGCAGCAGUAGGGAAUCUUCCGCAAUGGGCGAAAGCCUGACGGAGCAACGCCGCGUGAGUGAUGAAGGUCUUCGGAUCGUAAAACUCUGUUAUUAGGGAAGAACAUAUGUGUAAGUAACUGUGCACAUCUUGACGGUACCUAAUCAGAAAGCCACGGCUAACUACGUGCCAGCAGCCGCGGUAAUACGUAGGUGGCAAGCGUUAUCCGGAAUUAUUGGGCGUAAAGCGCGCGUAGGCGGUUUUUUAAGUCUGAUGUGAAAGCCCACGGCUCAACCGUGGAGGGUCAUUGGAAACUGGAAAACUUGAGUGCAGAAGAGGAAAGUGGAAUUCCAUGUGUAGCGGUGAAAUGCGCAGAGAUAUGGAGGAACACCAGUGGCGAAGGCGACUUUCUGGUCUGUAACUGACGCUGAUGUGCGAAAGCGUGGGGAUCAAACAGGAUUAGAUACCCUGGUAGUCCACGCCGUAAACGAUGAGUGCUAAGUGUUAGGGGGUUUCCGCCCCUUAGUGCUGCAGCUAACGCAUUAAGCACUCCGCCUGGGGAGUACGACCGCAAGGUUGAAACUCAAAGGAAUU